AAAUUUCAGGUUUGCUGCUGGGAAAGAAAAUGGCCAUAGUUGAUAAACUACACUCAGGUCUUUAGCAUUCUUUACUGAGGCAUCCAACAUUUCUCACUUAAAACACCACUACUAAUAGCAAUAUUAUCUCUUUACAGACACACACCACAGCAAACAUUACCUUUAUUGGAGUUCUUGGCUCUCAGCUGGUAAGACAGAGACUUCCACCAGACUCUGGAGGCAGCAAGCACCUCUCCCUGCCUCAGCCAGGCCUCUUAAAGGGCCCAUCACACAAGGAACCACACUUCCACCACAGGCAUCUUUGGAGGCUACAGUAAUUCUAGAGCCCCAGCAAUGGCUUCCACGGUGUGAUUACUCCCUCCUGAGUGCUGUGACUAAAGACGCCAGCCAUCCUGGCUUCUCUUUUCUUCUUUGAGAUAGGGUCUCGUGUAGCCAGUUGAGGAUUCUCCCUCCAUCAAUACUAUGAGUGAGUCACUUGCCAUCUCUGAAACCAGCAGUGAAACAAAGCCUGGCAGCCAUGGACUACAUUUCCAACUUUCUUCGUCUCGAAAGAUGCCUUUUUAAAAAUUAUUUCAUAUUAAAAAUAGUGUUUCACCAGGCGGUGGUGGCACACACCUUUAAUCCAGCACUCAGGAGGCAGAGGCAGGCAGAUAGAUCUCCAUGAGUUCCAGGACAGGCUCCAAAGCUACACAGAGAAACCCUGUCUCAACACACCCACUCACUCCCCAUGCCCC
rnacentral:lncRNA from 1 species